GAAGUGUUAGUAAAACAAUUACAUAGCCUUGUCAAGACUAAAUUGCAGGUGAAAACCCAGCACACUUCC
rnacentral:tRNA from 1 species